CUCAGCUGGGCUUUUCUGUAACAAAGACACAGAAGUCCUUACCCGGGCCACAAACCCCACUGAUCCACACAAGUGGUAUUCUGCUAGGGAGAUUGCAGGAGAACUUGUUGGUUUCUGUGGAGCACAAAAGGAACUGUGGGAAAGUGGUGAAGGACUUUCAUCAGACAAAAGGAUUAUCCUGUUUUCUGCAGUAAAGCAGGUGGCUGCCAGCUGAAACAGUGAAUGAAAAAGUAGAAAAAGCCGCUUGUAAAAUGACUUUCCUAUCACAUUUACUCAGGAGAAUUCUGUGGAAGAUGCAAAA